rnacentral:rRNA from 2 species
GUCCAUUGACUUGGACAAUUUCUGACAUUUUGACCUC